rnacentral:rRNA from 1 species
GACGAACGCUGGCGGCGUGCUUAACACAUGCAAGUCGAACGAUGAAGCUCUAGCUUGCUGGGGUGGAUUAGUGGCGAACGGGUGAGUAACACGUGAGUAACCUGCCCUUUACUUCGGGAUAAGCUUGGGAAACUGGGUCUAAUACCGGAUAUUCUGCGUGAUCGGAUGGUUGUGUAGGAAAGAUUUUUUGGUAAGGGAUGGGCUCGCGGCCUAUCAGUUUGUUGGUGGGGUGAUGGCCUACCAAGACGACGACGGGUAGCCGGCCUGAGAGGGCGACCGGCCACACUGGGACUGAGACACGGCCCAGACUCCUACGGGAGGCAGCAGUGGGGAAUAUUGCACAAUGGGGGAAACCCUGAUGCAGCGACGCCGCGUGGGGGAUGACGGCCUUCGGGUUUGUAACCUCUUUCAGUAGGGAAGAAGCGAAAGUGACGGUACCUGCAGAAGAAGUACCGGCUAACUACGUGCCAGCAGGCGCGGUAAUACGUAGGGUACUAGCGUUGUCCCGGAAUAUUGGGCGUAAGAGCUCGUAGGUGGUUUGUCGCGUCUGCUGUGGAAACGUGCCGCUUAACGGUGCGCGUGCAGUGGGUACGGGCGGACUAGAGUGCAGUAGGGGAGUCUGGAAUUCCUGGUGUAGCGGUGAAAUGCGCAGAUAUCAGGAGGAGCACCGGUGGCGAAGGCGGGACUCUGGGCUGUUACUGACGCUGAGGAGCGAAAGCAUGGGGAGCGAACAGGAUUAGAUACCCUGGUAGUCCAUGCCGUAAACGUUGGGCACUAGGUGUGGGGUCCAUUCCACGGAUUCUGCGCCGUAGCUAACGCAUUAAGUGCCCCGCCUGGGGAGUACGGCCGCAAGGCUAAAACUCAAAGGAAUUGACGGGGGCCCGCACAAGCGGCGGAGCAUGCGGAUUAAUUCGAUGCAACGCGAAGAACCUUACCAAGGCUUGACAUGCACUAGACCAUCGCAGAGAUGUGGUUUUCUUUUUGACUGGUGUACAGGUGGUGCAUGGUUGUCGUCAGCUCGUGUCGUGAGAUGUUGGGUUAAGUCCCGCAACGAGCGCAACCCUCGUUCUAUGUUGCCAGCACGUGAUGGUGGGAACUCAUGGGAGACUGCCGGGGUCAACUCGGAGGAAGGUGGGGAUGACGUCAAAUCAUCAUGCCCUUUAUGUCUUGGGCUUCACGCAUGCUACAAUGGCCGGUACAGAGGGUGGCGAUACCGUGAGGUGGAGCGAAUCUCUUAAAGCCGGUCUCAGUUCGGAUCGUAGUCUGCAACUCGACUACGUGAAGUCGGAGUCGCUAGUAAUCGCAGAUCAGCAAUGCUGCGGUGAAUACGUUCCCGGGCCU